rnacentral:rRNA from 1 species
AGUGAACGCUGGCGGCAGGCCUAAUACAUGCAAGUCGAACGGCAGCACAGCAGAGCUUGCUCUGUGGGUGGCGAGUGGCGGACGGGUGAGGAAUACAUGGGAAUCUGCCCAGUCGUGGGGGAUAACGUAUGGAAACGUACGCUAAUACCGCAUGCGCCCUACGGGGGAAAGCCGGGGACCGCAAGGCCUGGCGCGAUUGGAUGAGCCCAUGUUCGAUUAGCUAGUUGGCGGGGUAAAGGCCCACCAAGGCGACGAUCGAUAGCUGGUCUGAGAGGAUGAUCAGCCACACUGGAACUGAGACACGGUCCAGACUCCUACGGGAGGCAGCAGUAGGGAAUAUUGGACAAUGGGGGCAACCCUGAUCCAGCCAUGCC